GGUUGAGGGUGCUCUGGCUGUGGCAUCUGCCACCCCACGGAUGGCCAGGGUCAAUUCGGCUCAUCUUGCUGGCCCGGUGGGUGUCCCCUUCCUCCCUGUCCACUUCAUGUGGAUCCCUUCCAGUGGCAUUGGCUUGGUUGAAGGGGAUGGCCACUCCUGAAAGAGCAGCACUGCUUCCUCCAGCAGGGUGUACGAGUAGCUGUGCUCCCCUGGUAGAACUUCCAAACAAGCUCUCAGGUGCCAGGCAGCAGAAACACUUGUUCUGCUGCAUGUAAACCCCUAUGUAGGCAAAUAUGGGGGGGGGUCUGGAUAGAUCUAAAUU
rfam:Heterocephalus glaber contig166840, whole genome shotgun sequence.